UACGUAGGGGGCAAGCGUUGUCCGGAAUUAUUGGGCGUAAAGCGCGCGCAGGCGGUUUUUUAAGUCUGAUGUAUAAGUUCAAGGCUCAACCUUGGGAUGCAUUGGAAACUGGGGGACUGGAGUGUAGGAGAGGAAAGUGGAAUUCCACGUGUAGCGGUGAAAUGCGUAGAGAUGUGGAGGAACACCAGUGGCGAAGGCGACUUUCUGGCCUAUAACUGACGCUGAGGCGCGAAAGCGCGGGGAGCAAACAGG
rnacentral:rRNA from 1 species